UACGAAGGGGGCUAGCGUUGCUCGGAAUCACUGGGCGUAAAGCGCACGUAGGCGGAUCGUUAAGUCAGGGGUGAAAUCCUGGAGCUCAACUCCAGAACUGCCUUUGAUACUGGCGACCUUGAGUUCGGGGAGAGGUGAGUGGAACUGCGAGUGUAGAGGUGAAAUUCGUAGAUAUUCGCAAGAACACCAGUGGCGAAGGCGGCUCACUGGCCCGAUACUGACGCUGAGGUGCGAAAGCGUGGGGAGCAAACAGG
rnacentral:rRNA from 1 species